UGUGUAGGCGGAAUGGUAAGCGUCUUGUGAAAUCCCCCGGCUUAACCGGGGAACUGCUUGGCGAACUGCCUUUCUUGAGGCAAGUAGGGGUGCAUAGAACUCUUGGUGGAGCGGUGGAAUGUGUAGAUAUCAAGAGGAAUGCCAAUGGAGAAAUCAGUGCACUGGACUUGUUCUGACGCUGAGACACGAAAGCGUGGGUAGCGAACAGGAUUAGAUACCCUGGUAGUCC
rnacentral:rRNA from 1 species